rnacentral:lncRNA from 1 species
CAUAAUCUUUUUAUCUAGAUCCACUCCGAGCCGGGUCAGAUGGUACGUGUUGACCCGUUUACCCGUAAGGAAUAAAUGGUCACAAAAGUCAACAAAAAGAUUGGCGGUAUGAGGAAGGGGUUUCAACUGUAGAUUCACAAAAAGCGUUGACGAACCACAAAAUAACACGGUGACAGUCACUAUCUUAUGCCUCCACACUUCCACUUGCUUGGACAUGAUGUGACAUACGUGGUGCCACGCUUUGCACACCUCAUCUCCACUUCCACCAUCGCCAUUUUACUGUGACACGUGUUCUCAUCUCCUUGGUUUGCCUCUGAAUCUUUUUCAUCUCCGCAGACAUUUUUUCCGCCUGUAAUUAGGAAAAGUUGAAAGUAAACGUAUAAAUUGAUAAGAGUUUUGAGAGAAGUAAACAUCAGUUUGGAUAAACUCAACAAAACACUCACUCGUCGUAUCUGUAUAAAUACAUACCACGGACACGACACGAACCUGGUAGCACAAAGAUUAUUAAGAUUACUUCCUAAAAAAAAUAAAAACAAAGCUUUGACAAAAGAUA